UACGUAGGGUGCAAGCGUUAAUCGGAAUUACUGGGCGAAAGCGUGCGCAGGCGGUUUAUAUAAGACAGUUGUGAAAUCCCCGGGCUCAACCUGGGAACUGCAUCUGUGACUGUAUAGCUAGAGUACGGGUAGAGGGGGAUGGAAUUCCGCGUGUAGCAGUGAAAUGCGUAGAUAUGCGGGAGGAACACCGAUGGCGAAGGCAAUCCCCCUG
rnacentral:rRNA from 1 species